rnacentral:rRNA from 1 species
AGGCUCCCAGUAGACGACUGGGUUGAUAGGCCAGAUAUGGAAGCCCUGUGAGGGGUGGAGUUGACUGGUACUAAUAGGCCGAGGGCUUGUCCUCAGUUG